rnacentral:lncRNA from 1 species
GGGAGUUUCCAAAUGUGAUGGAGUUUCCAGCCAUGUUGGAGUUUCCAAAUGUGAUGGGAUUUCCAAAUGUGAUGGGAGUUUCCAGCCAUGUUGGAGUUUCCAAAUGUGAUGGGAGUUUCCAAAUGUGAUGGAGUUUCCAGCCAUGUUGGAGUUUCCAAAUGUGAUGGGAUUUCCAACCGUGUUGGAGUUUCCAAAUGUGAUGGGAGUUUCCAAAUGUGAUGGGAGUUUCCAAAUGUGAUGGGAGUUUCCAAAUGUGAUGGGAGUUUCCAACCGUGUUGGAGUUUCUAGCCACAUAUGUGUACUUUUUUAGAGCUCCAUCACUCCACUCCUUUCGAUAAAUUGAACAGAGUCAUCAUUAAGAUCAGAUGGGCUUCACUUACGUCCUUCGCCCUUCCUACUGAAUAGAAAUGAACUAAACCAAACAUUUGUGGCGGGUUCCAUGUGUGGCUUUCGAUCAUUUAUUUGGAUUCCUCAUGUCUAAAUCAUUGUUAGAAAAAGUUUGGGCCAAAUUGGAUGUUAGGUACUAUAUUAAUUCAAUAUUAUAUGAAUCCUAUAAAUUAAAAUGGCACAUUUUUUG